rnacentral:SRP_RNA from 1 species
GCUGGGCAUGGUGGCGCAUGCCUGUAGUCCCAGCUAUUGGGAGACUGAGGUGGGAGGAUCACUUGAGCCUAGAAGUUCAAGGGUAUAGUGUGCUAUUAUCAUACCUGAGAAUAGCCACUGCAGCCUGGGCAACAUAGCAAGAACCCACCUCUA